rnacentral:rRNA from 1 species
GAUGAACGCUGGCGGCGUGCCUAACACAUGCAAGUCGAGCGAAGCACUUACUUAAGAUUUCUUCGGAAUGACGAAGUUUGUGACUGAGCGGCGGACGGGUGAGUAACGCGUGGGCAACCUGCCCUGUACAGGGGGAUAACAGUUAGAAAUGACUGCUAAUACCGCAUAAGCCCACAGCUUCGCAUGAAGCAGUGGGAAAAACUCCGGUGGUACAGGAUGGGCCCGCGUCUGAUUAGCUAGUUGGUAAGGUAACGGCGUACCAAGGCGACGAUCAGUAGCCGACCUGAGAGGGUGACCGGCCACAUUGGGACUGAGACACGGCCCAAACUCCUACGGGAGGCAGAAGUGGGGAAUAUUGCACAAUGGGGGAAACCCUGAUGCAGCGACGCCGCGUGAGCGAUGAAGUAUUUCGGUAUGUAAAGCUCUAUCAGCAGGGAAGAAAGUGACGGUACCUGACUAAGAAGCCCCGGCUAACUACGUG